GCCGAGCGGUAGAGAUCUUUCGGGAUCUUGAGAGCGGCGUACGGGUGCGGAACACGUGUGCAACCUGCCUUUAUCUGGGGGAUAGCCUUUCGAAAGGAAGAUUAAUACCCCAUAAUAUAUUGAAUGGCAUCAUUUGAUAUUGAAAACUCCGGUGGAUAGAGAUGGGCACGCGCAAGAUUAGAUAGUUGGUGAGGUAACGGCUCACCAAGUCAGCGAUCUUUAGGGGGCCUGAGAGGGUGAUCCCCCACACUGGUACUGAGACACGGACCAGACUCCUACGGGAGGCAGCAGUGAGGAAUAUUGGACAAUGGGUGAGAGCCUGAUCCAGCCAUCCCGCGUGAAGGACGACGGCCCUAUGGGUUGUAAACUUCUUUUGUAUAGGGAUAAACCUACCCUCGUGAGGGUAGCUGAAGGUACUAUACGAAUAAGCACCGGCUAACUCCGUGCCAGCAGCCGCGGUAAUACGGAGGGUGCAAGCGUUAUCCGGAUUUAUUGGGUUUAAAGGGUCCGUAGGCUGAUUUGUAAGUCAGUGGUGAAAUCUCACAGCUUAACUGUGAAACUGCCAUUGAUACUGCAAGUCUUGAGUGUUGUUGAAGUAGCUGGAAUAAGUAGUGUAGCGGUGAAAUGCAUAGAUAUUACUUAGAACACCAAUUGCGAAGGCAGGUUACUAAGCAACAACUGACGCUGAUGGACGAAAGCGUGGGGAGCGAACAGGAUUAGAUACCCUGGUAGUCCACGCCGUAACGAUGCUAACUCGUUUUUGGGCUUUUGGGUUCAGAGACUAAGCGAAAGUGAUAAGUUAGCCACCUGGGGAGUACGAACGCAAGUUUGAAACUCAAAGGAAUUGACGGGGGCCCGCACAAGCGGUGGAUUAUGUGGUUUAAUUCGAUGAUACGCGAGGAACCUUACCAAGGCUUAAAUGGGAAAUGACAGGCUUAGAAAUAGGCUUUUCUUCGGACAUUUUUCAAGGUGCUGCAUGGUUGUCGUCAGCUCGUGCCGUGAGGUGUUAGGUUAAGUCCUGCAACGAGCGCAACCCCUGUCACUAGUUGCCAUCAUUAAGUUGGGGACUCUAGUGAGACUGCCUACGCAAGUAGAGAGGAAGGUGGGGAUGACGUCAAAUCAUCACGGCCCUUACGCCUUGGGCCACACACGUAAUACAAUGGCCGGUACAGAGGGCAGCUACACUGCGAAGUGAUGCAAAUCUCGAAAGCCGGUCUCAGUUCGGAUUGGAGUCUGCAACUCGACUCUAUGAAGCUGGAAUCGCUAGUAAUCGCGCAUCAGCCAUGGCGCGGUGAAUACGUUCCCGGGCCUUGUACACACCGCCCGUCAAGCCAUGGAAGUCUGGGGUACCUGAAGUCGGUGACCGUAAC
rnacentral:rRNA from 1 species